AUGUGCCAAAUGAAAGGGGCCGUCUGUGUUCACGGCCCAUGCGUCAUGGACCCCCGGAGUCGUAGAGGCCGUGAGGGCACUGGAUUACCCGAUGGGAUUGCGGGGAGUGUGUCAGGAAGGCAGCUGGGCAUUGUGCGGCUGGAUCGGAUGGCGCGGAGUUCGGUUGAGGGUGCGGAUGCCCUAAGGAAACGAGGCAUAAUGGUCCAGGGGAAAUAUCUUUUCUUGAACCGAUCACCUGAGGAUCAGAUCCAUGUCUACUCGAUCCAGUUCAGAAUCCUCCUCCGAUGUAUUCGUCGCCGCUCGCCGCUCCUGACCUUCUCCGUCCUCGACCUGCCUGGUGAGAGGAAUAAAUUCAUCGUCCUCGUCCUUCUCCGUCCCCAGCCCCCCAUGCCGUCACCGAAGAAGAAGAAGGUCGGAUCUGCGUCGGCUGAAUCGGCGGCGACGGCGGCGGGCGAUCCCAUCUCUUCGCGCGUACCAUCAUUAAGGUAUGAAUCCGGCUUGGCAUUCUGCUCGUUCUCUUGGCCGUUGCGCCCCUCCACCGUGCAUGCAGUACAACCUCAACCCCACAAGAUCCAGAAAGACAUGGCGUAUGCAAGUGAUGAGAGUAUGUUCGAGUAUCUAAAUGUUGUCAGCAAGAUGUUUGAUAGUGAGGCUUGCUGUUUGAUAGUGAGGCUGAAGGCUAUAAAUUCUACAACAAAUAUGCUCUUGAAAAAGGUUUUAGUUCGUCAAGGGUUUCGCGAAGAGAAGCACAUGAAAAGAAAGAUGGAAGAUAGAAAGAGGAGGCCACGAAGUUUAACUCGUGUUGGGUGUAAUGCUAAAUUGGUCAUUACGAGACAGGAGGAAACUGGUCGGUGGUUUGUCAAGGAUUUCAUCGAUGAGCACAACCAUCCUCUAGCCCCAUGGGAUCUUUCUUGUCUGCUGCAUUCGCACAGACGAAUUAGCGAUGAGCAGAAAGCGGACAUUGCGGACAUGGAAAAAUGUGGGAUCCGCAAAUACCGUAUUAUGGAUAUUUUGUGCUUUCAAUACGGUGGAUUUGAUAAGGUUGGAUGCAUAAAGAGGGACAUUUAUAAUUUCUGCCAUGCUAAUAAGCAGGAGACAAUCAGCGCCGGUGAUGCUAAUACGGUGAUCAUGCACAUGAUGGCGAGGCGAGAGCGAGAUGAAAAUGCUUCGCCGCUUGAGAAACACGCCGCAACAGUUUUCACACCUGGUGUCUUUAAGAUGGUCUUAUGGAGCAUAGAUGCUGUCAGCAAAUGUCAGAUCAGAGAGAUACUAGAUGGAUCAAAAGAUUCCACUUAUGUUGUGUCCAAGCAGGAAAGAAUGGAUAAAAAGUUUGGAGUGCGAAUUGAAGAGCAAGGAGGUUUUUUGCACAGGUUGUUGCUUCCCACUAGGUGGACUAUGAAUGCAAAAUGUGCAUAUGCACCUACCAAAAAAACCCAGAUGUAUGACUAUUCGAUGCUUUUGCAAGCACAACAUCAUGGCAAGCAAUCAAGUUUUGAACAAGCUGACAGCAAGGAGUCAACUAAUGCUCAGCAUAACAGCAUUAGGUUUGGCCCAUUGAUGCCACACUCGGAGAAAGUUGAUAAGGUUCUGGAUCCCGUGCAUGUGCCAGGACGAGGUGCACCGAAGAAAAGGCUGCAUGCAAAGACAAAGAAGUCAAGAUCACAGAAUAUCUGUGGCUAUUGCAAGAAUCCUGGUCACAAUCGACGUAAAUGCGCUAAAUUGCUAGAGAAUAAUUUUUGUGAUGUAUUUCUGCACGCACGCACGGCCGCCAGACGGAUCUCCCGCGCGAUCCCACGGUCUGCAUGGCUCAUGCAUGGCAGGCCGUUUUCGUACGUCGACCCAAACACCGGCCCAUUCGAGGUUGCAGCUCCGGACGGCCCACGUCGCCGGGGCCCAGUAGGGUGUGCUUGGAAAUAUUUGAGAAACCUCCAUGCACAUUCAUCUUCGCUGCAUGCAAAUCGGGUGGCAGCCGCUGUGCCAGCAGCUGUCAAGACCUUGAUGAAUCACUAUUCACAUCCUCACCCACUGGGUCGCUGGAUGGACCGUUGGGCCAUCUCGUUGUCUGCACCUGAGGCCUGCAUGCAUGGGAAGGGCGGUGACGUGGGUUUGCAUGCGCGGGUGGCGGACGUGCAUGCAUGCGAGCGAGGCGAUUAA
rnacentral:rRNA from 1 species